rnacentral:snoRNA from 1 species
CAUUAAAAUUCUAAGCUGACCAGCUUCCUUUGUUUAUGGGAACCUGGUGUUCUGUGGCUGCAGACAGCAGUCUCCUCAGCAGUGUACACAGCCUAAUGCUUGUGUGGCUUGCCCUAAGGGACCUUGGAGACAGGU